rnacentral:rRNA from 1 species
UACGGAGUGGGCUAGCGUUGUUCGGAAUUACUGGGCGUAAAGCGCACGUAGGCGGCUUUGUAAGUUAGAGUUGAAAGCCCGGGGCUCAACUCCGGAAUUGCCUUUAAGACUGCAUCGCUAGAAUUGUGGAGAGGUAAGUGGAAUUCCGAGUGUAGAGGUGAAAUGCGUAGAUAUCGGAAGGAACACCUGUGGCGAAAGCGGCUCACUGGACCAUUACUGACGCUGAUGCACGAAAGCUAGGGGAGCAAACAGG